rnacentral:rRNA from 1 species
UGUCGAUGAAGAGCGCAGCCAACUGUGUGAAUUAAUGUGAAUUGCUAUCUGCUUUGAACAUCGACAUCUUGAACGCAUAUUGCGGCCACGGGUUAGCCUGUGGCCACGCCCGUCCGAGGGUCG